rnacentral:rRNA from 1 species
AUAGCGAACAAGUACCGUGAGGGAAAGUUGAAAAGCACUCUGGAGAGAGAGUCAAAAGACCGUGAAACCGCUCAGAGUAUAAGCCCAUGGCAGCUUGGAAGGCAUAUCGCUAGCGGGGCAUCGGUCUCCCUUCGCGGGGAGUCGGUGUUACCUUGCUUUUGUUGUGGCUCGUCACGGUAGGGGGGUCAAGUCCACAUCCCGCCGACGUGUGGGGGGUUCUUGGGUGUGUUGUGGUUUCUCGGUUGGCUUCGGUUGGCCGGGGGGCUCUUCGUGCUCGGUUCCUCUUUGUACACGGACGUUCAGACUCAUUUGCAAGACGCGAUAAACAGCCCACCACGGCACGUUGUGAGGUCAUCCACAGGCUCGACUUUCGAUCGUGAUCCUUGACGCCGAGCAAGCACAAUGCGUGUCGCUUAUGUUCCUAACCAGGCGACGCUGCCAGGACUAUGGAACGACACGCGCUCAACAGUCAGGUUCGGGCGGAGACAGAGUACUGGUACGAUCCUCUUGUGACGAGUCGGCUUCUGGCCAAUAUCCGAUGCUCAGGUCUCCCGCAUGAGCCGCGGGAGAUCGCCCUGACGGUCUGGAUCUUUCACGAGUCCUCUCAGUCGGGCAACGGAUAGAGUGGUGUAAAGUCCAAGCCCAUCGGUCACGUCUCGAAACACGGGCCAAGGAGUAUAGCAUGUGUGCAAGUCUAAGAGUCUCACAAAACUCGAAGGCGAAGUGAAAGCAAGUAUGCGGCGGGUGAUCUA